GAUGAACGCUGGCGGCGUGCCUAAUACAUGCAAGUCGAGCGAACAGACGAGGAGCUUGCUCCUCUGACGUUGGCGGCGGACGGGUGAGUAACACGUGGAUAACCUACCUAUAAGACUGGGAUAACUUCGGGAAACCGGAGCUAAUACCGGAUAAUAUAUUGAACCGCAUGGUUCAAUAGUGAAAGACGGUUUUGCUGUCACUUAUAGAUGGAUCCGCGCCGCAUUAGCUAGUUGGUAAGGUAACGGCUUACCAAGGCAACGAUGCGUAGCCGACCUGAGAGGGUGAUCGACCACACUGGAACUGAGACACGGUCCAGACUCCUACGGGAGGCAGCAGUAGGGAAUCUUCCGCAAUGGGCGAAAGCCUGACGGAGCAACGCCGCGUGAGUGAUGAAGGUCUUCGGAUCGUAAAACUCUGUUAUUAGGGAAGAACAAAUGUGUAAGUAACUAUGCACGUCUUGACGGUACCUAAUCAGAAAGCCACGGCUAACUACGUG
rnacentral:rRNA from 1 species